ACUCAAAUGAAUUGACGGGGGCCCGCACAAGCGGAGGAACAUGUGGUUUAAUUCGAUGAUACGCGAGGAACCUUACCCGGGCUCGAACGCAGGAGGAAUGCAGGGGAAACUCUGCCGCCGCAAGGUCGCCUGCGAGGUGCUGCAUGGUUGUCGUCAGCUCGUGCCGUGAGGUGUCGGCUUAAGUGCCAUAACGAGCGCAACCCUUAUUGUUAGUUGCCAGCGGAUAAUGCCGGGGACUCUAGCAAAACUGCCAGCGCAAGCUGUGAGGAAGGUGGGGAUGACGUCAAAUCAGCACGGCCCUUACGUCCGGGGCGACACACGUGUUACAAUGGGAGGUACAGAAGGUUGCUACCACGCGAGUGGAUGCUAAUCCUAAAAGCCUCUCUCAGUUCGGAUCGAAGUCUGCAACUCGACUUCGUGAAGCUGGAUUCGCUAGUAAUCGCGCAUCAGCCAUGGCGCGGUGAAUACGUUCCCGGGCCUUGUACACACCGCCCGU
rnacentral:rRNA from 1 species